rnacentral:rRNA from 1 species
UACGGAGGGUGCAAGCGUUGUCCGGAAUCACUGGGCGUAAAGGGCGUGUAGGCGGGACAGUAAGUCGGGGGUGAAAUCCUGGAGCUCAACUCCAGAACUGCCUUCGAAACUGGCGAUCUUGAGUUCGGGAGAGGUGAGUGGAACUGCGAGUGUAGAGGUGAAAUUCGUAGAUAUUCGCAAGAACACCAGUGGCGAAGGCGGCUCACUGGCCCGAUACUGACGCUGAGGUGCGAAAGCGUGGGGAGCAAACAGG